GGCUGCAUUCGAAGGGUGCGUUAACGCCGAUUGCGUCACAGCGACGCGCCAAGUGCUGUCCCAAUUCCAAGGGUCCUUCAAAUGCGGCCUACGAAUGCAGCCUUUUCCCGGAUUUGAAGGAUGCAUCGGCUGUAUCCUUCACGGCCCAACGUAUCCCAAGAUCCUUCACGGCCCAACGUAUCUCUCCCAAGAUUCAUUGCGCACUCAAUCAAUGGAGUUGGCGGAGAAUGGCGAUUUAAGUUUUGCAUUUAAAUGGAGCCAGCAGCAUACUGCUCGAUUUAUUCUAUAGAGGGGGGAGAACGAUGAGCUGUUCACCGGGGUGAAAUACUCAGCAAGUGUGGCUUGGGGGAUUGCAAGUAUCCAGGGUCAGGAGAGGGGGUAGGUGGGAAACCCACUGCUGCAACUUGGCCCUGGUUGGUCCUCAUGGAUGAGGUAUUGGGACAGAGGCAUUCCACCAUCCCCCCUGUCCUAAUUGCCUGCAUCACUGAGAACACACCAGGGCCAAGUACAGCAAGUACAGCAGUGGUGGAUCAGGAGGUGGAGGACAAGGAUCAGGAGGAGGAAAGACAGCGAGGGCCAAGGUCCAGAAAGAGGGACAGAGAGGAAGACAUGUUCCAGAGUCGCUCACUAUCUUCCGAAAAGGACUCAAGACUCACCUGUUCAGAGUCCACCUCGACUCUGCAUAGCCACCCUCCCCCUUCUGGCCACCAUUGUACACUGUGUUGUAUUGUAUUGUAUUGUAUUGUAUUAUAGACAGUACUUAACUGUGUAACAACUGCAGUAGCUGCUAUCAUGGCUGUAACACGGGGAAUUGAUUAGCCGAUUGUGGUACUUGCACUUGGUUCUAUGAACAUCCUUUCUGUACCAACAGCGAUAUAUUGAUGCACUUCUGAUGACAAAUGUACUUAUUGUAAGUCGCUUUGGAUAAAAGAGUCUGCUAAAUGCCCUAAA